rnacentral:rRNA from 1 species
UACAGAGGGUGCAAGCGUUAAUCGGAAUUACUGGGCGUAAAGCGUGCGUAGUCGGCUUUUCAAGUCGGGUGUGAAAGCCCCGGGCUCAACCUGGGAAUUGCAUUCGAUACUGGAUGGCUAGAGUUCGGCAGAGGGAAGCGGAAUUUCCGGUGUAGCGGUGAAAUGCGUAGAUAUCGGAAGGAACAUCAGUGGCGAAAGCGGCUUCCUGGACCAGAACUGACGAUCAGGCACGAAAGCGUGGGGAGCAAAC